rnacentral:lncRNA from 1 species
AAAGUGUUGAUUAGAAGCAAUCACACACGGCCACUUCAUCAAUCCGUCACGAAAUUACUCUCACCACCCACUCCACCGCCGCCAUUUCACAUUCUACACAAAUCUCCGCCGCAUCUCUCAUAUCCCCGGCGAACCCCCUUUCUCGAUUUCACUUUUCUCCCAAUUCAAUCCAACAAUGCAAGCUGACAAAAACGACAGCGUCGCUGUUCAAGAAGAACCUUCUUCCUCUUCGAAUUCCCACACUGCCAUUGACCCUCUCGCAAAAAGCUCUGAAGUUUUGGCAAAAGGCUUGUCGUCGAUGCUGUCCACUGUCAUCAAGGAAUUCGAUGUCAAAGCUCAGCAAACUCUCAACAGCCAGGACCAACUCUCUUCCGCCAUUGAUCGUCUCACUCGAGGUUACGUUUCGUUCAAUCUUUUAUAUGUUCAAAUUUCAACAUUACCAAUUAUGUUAUCCAUUAAUUGUGUAAAACUAAAACCUCAUUUUCAUCAAUUUAGUCUUGAGAAUAUAAAACCGUUGAUUUGGUCCAUGACUUUGCAUACUUUCCGUCAAUUUAUACCUUUUUCGGAUUUGUAUGAUUUUUGUUGUUGCAAGAGUUCGUAAUCUCAGGAAUCAAAUUUACCGGUGAAUUCGAUCUUAGGGACCAAAUUGAUGUUUAUUAAUGUCUAAAUAUUAACUGCAUUAUUUAUUUUAUCAUUUGGUGUGUUAAGAGAUUCCACAGGGCAGGUGUUCCCUAACUGUAGGACCUGAACCGGCGAGUUUCUAGGGCCCAAAUUCCGCUUGUUAGAGUUCCACAAGGGCCUGUCUGCGAGUUAAUUUUAAAAGGUGAGGGAAGGAAAAGGGAAGACUUGAGAGUGCUCUCCAAAGUCUUUCAUUUACCUCUAUUGCAUUCAAAAAACUAACUCACAAAUAUACCCUAAGUGCUUUAGAAUAUGGUGUAGAACCUAAUCCCUGCUCGGAGUCUCCGCAUGAUUAUACAGUCUCUCUAUGUGUAACUUAGCAGGAAUAACCUCAGAUGGGUAGUUAUCUAUAAUGACUAAAUGGCAGUUCAUAAGCUAUGGAUCUAUCUUAAUCUAUUAAUCUGGUUAUAUUAUGGAUCAUGCAUUUAGGAGGGAUCUCUUAGGUUUUUAAAUUAAGUGACUCGGGUUCUCCUUAUUGGGCAUUAAUGGCAGGCAGGCUUGACACGGAGAGUAACAUCAACAAUUUUUUUAUAAAUUCGAUUUAUAUAAUAUAGACCUACUAUUAUAAUGUUUGGUUUCUAAGGUGGUCUUUGGUAUGCUGGAACCUAUUGAAAUAGAAAGUAGCAUAACAACGAUAGAGUGGGGAUGUUCUGUUAUGUUCUCUUUGGUUCCAUCACUUUUUAUGUUACCAAAAAAUCCUACAUUUAACCCAUUGGUCCAUCAUGUUCUAUUUAUAAAUGCACCAAACAUAGAGUAGAGUCCAUUUAGGAAGCACAAAUAGUGAUGCACGGAUAUGACACAAUACAAAUACAUUGAUAUGGAUUGGAUGAGGAAGAAAGAAGAAUGCGUAAUUCUUGAAGAUGCAUAGUCUUACUGUACACAAUGUUUUGGUUGGGUGUGACACAAUGUUUGAUUUAUAUGAUGAAUUUCUUAGCAGGAACGUGAAGUUCGGAAGAAAGUAGUUGUACUAUUGGGAAAGUAACAGUUCUAGUCUUCACUUUCUUAUAAUACUUGUAACUUUUUAAACGUUAUUUCAAGGUUAAAGAAGUCAAGAUGCAUCUGCUAUUGGCUUGCUUUUCCCUCUUCUUGAUUUUUUCAUUUAAUAAUAUAUAACCUUAAAGAAAAAGGUGGAAAUCCUGGAGAUAGUCUCUAUAUUUGUGAGGAUAAGACUGCAUACAUCUUCCAUUCUCAGAUCCCACUAAGUGGAAAUCUCGUACACUAGGCUGCCAUUUUUAAAGAAAAGGUGGAAAUUAUUAUGACUUACUCAACUUGGAAUAAGGUUCUCUUUUGUGGUUCUCCUCUCCCAAGUUAAAUUAUUGGAUGCUUGGAGCUAGUGCCUGCAAAUGAUGAUUCUGGUGUUGAUUAGGUAUGAUUGGUCUGGUUUAACCAUCAUAAAAAAUAUUCAUACAUUGAAAUUAGGAGGUUAUGGUAGCAAGUUAUGUGGUUAUGGUAGCAAGUUAUGUGGUUAUGGGCAAGUCCUAUGAGGGAUCAUUUAAAAGCUUCCUGGCUUGGGAGUAUUUACUAAGAAGUGUGAAUGUUAAGUUGAAGUAACACCUAGGACUUGACAUAUUUAUUUUUAAAGAAGACAUUUCAUUCCGUCUUAUUAGGUUAAGUAAUUUAUGUAUUAGGAACUGGAUCAAAAGGGAAGAAACUGUAGAAGAAAAGAAAGAAAGUUGCUUUAUUGAUGAAAUCUUAGGGAAAUGGAUACCCUAGUUGAGAGAGAAUGAAUACAACCAAUGCCUAACCCUUCGGGAAUGUUUGAGAGGCAUUGGUGUCUCCCAAUAACUUUACCACUUUCUAACCGAAUAUCCCUCUUCCCUCUCAUCUCUACUUAUAUCUUCUAACAACUAACACAGUUUCUCAGCCUAACUAACUAACUACCGACCUGGGUCAGAUCCUGGCCCAUUCCUCCUAUAUACAUUUCUAAUAAGAGGUCUAACAGCCUAACAUUAUGCUGGAAAUUAUAAGGUCUAGUACUAUAGUAUAGCAAGUUUUAUGAGAGACGCAUUUCUUAGUCUCCUGUAUACCUAAGAAUAUGGAUGUUAAUUAAUAUAUUUUGAAAUUACAAAAACAACUUUGCUACUAAUAUGUGUCUCUACUGCUCCUGCAUCACAUGAAGUGUGAAUGCUACACAGGAAUACUAAGUUUAUUGGCAUAGAAUGCCAAAUAGAUAGUUUUAUGAGAGAUGCAUCUAUUAAUCUUCAGGCUUAUCAGUAAUAACCUAAAUUUGGGUUGUUUUUUUAAUUAAAAUAUUCUUUGGUUAUAGGUCUGAAGACUACAUUUAAGUCUUUUUGAGUAGCUUCACCAAUAAUUUAUCUUAGUCUCCUUUUACCUCCAGAACUUGAUCAAUUACUUGAAG